rnacentral:sRNA from 1 species
UCAAUUGUCGUAGCACUGCUGUUAGCCCU